rnacentral:rRNA from 1 species
CUACGGGAUGCUCCAGUGAGGAAUAUUGCACAAUGGGGGGAACCCUGAUGCAGCAACGCCGCGUGGAGGAUGACGCAUUUCGGUGUGUAAACUCCUUUUAUAUGUCAAGAAAAUGACGGUAGCAUAUGAAUAAGCACCGGCUAACUCCGUGCCAGCAGCCGCGGUAAUACGGAGGGUGCAAGCGUUACUCGGAAUCACUGGGCGUAAAGGACGCGUAGGCGGGUUGGAAAGUCAGGUGUGAAAUCCUACAGCUUAACUGUAGAACUGCACUUGAAACUUCUAAUCUAGAGUAUGGGAGGGGGAGAUGGAAUUGGUGGUGUAGGGGUAAAAUCCGUAGAUAUCACCAGGAAUACCUAAAGCGAAGGCGAUCUCCUGGAACAUUACUGACGCUAAGGCGUGAAAGCGUGGGGAGCAAACAGGAUUAGAUACCCUCGUAGUC